rnacentral:lncRNA from 1 species
UUAAUUAUAAUUUGUUGGGCCUAGUUGUUAUAAUUGAUUGGGCCAUCCAUAUAGUAGUCCAGCUAAGACGUUUAAUAGGCCAGCCUUGACAUAAUAAAUCAAGUGGCCCAAUCACGCCUACGUACACUUUUGAGAGACAGUACGCCUACGCAUUGAAGUGCGAAAUAAUUGGUUGAAUUGAUUAUUUAUGUAAAGGAAAAUAAUUUUGUAUCACUGACUCAAGUCUUGUUCUUGA